UACAGAGGGGGGCAAGCGUUGUUCGGAAUUACUGGGCGUAAAGGGCGCGUAGGCGGCCUUCUAAGUCGAACGUGAAAUCCCCGGGCUCAACCCGGGAACUGCGUCCGAUACUGGAAGGCUUGAAUCCGGGAGAGGGAUGCGGAAUUCCAGGUGUAGCGGUGAAAUGCGUAGAUAUCUGGAGGAAUACCGGUGGCGAAGGCGGCAUCCUGGACCGACAUUGACGCUGAUGAGCGAAAGCUAGGGGAGCAAACGGG
rnacentral:rRNA from 1 species